CCUACGGGUGACUGCAGUGAGGAAUAUUGGUCAAUGGUCGUAAGACUGAACCAGCCAAGUAGCGUGCAGGAUGACGGUACUGUGUGUUGUAAACUGCUUUUAUGCGGGGAUAAAAUGCGUCACGUGUGAUCGGUUGUGUGUACCUCAUGAAAAAGGACCGGCUAAUUCCGUGCCAGCAGCCGCGGUAAUACGGAGGGUGCGGGCGUUAUCCGGAUUUAUUGGGUUUAAAGGGUGCGUAGGCCGGCUGUUAAGCGCGCCGUGAAAUGCCGGGGCUCAACCCUGGCCCCGCGGCGGGAACUGGCAUGCUCGAGUGCGAGGAAAGUAUGCGGAAUUCGCGGUGUAGCGGUGAAAUGCAUAGAUAUCGCGCAGAACUCCGAUUGCGAAGGCAGCAUGCGGCCGCGAUACUGACGCUGAAGCUCGAAGGCGUGGGUAUCGAACAGGAUUAGAUACCCUAGUAGUC
rnacentral:rRNA from 1 species